AGCGAACGCUGGCGGCAGGCCUAACACAUGUAAGUCGAACGAACUCUUCGGAGUUAGUGGCGGACGGGUGAGUAACACGUGGGAACGUGCCUUUAGGUUCGGGAUAACUCAGGGAAACUUGUGCUAAUACCGAAUGUGCCCUUCGGGGGAAAGAUUUAUCGCCUUUAGAGCGGCCCGCGUCUGAUUAGCUAGUUGGUGAGGUAACGGCUCACCAAGGCGACGAUCAGUAGCUGGUCUGAGAGGAUGGCCAGCCACACUGGGACUGAGACACGGCCCAGACUCCUACGGGAGGCAGCGGUGGGGAAUCUUGCGCAAUGGGCGAAAGCCUGACGCAGCCAUGCCGCGUGAAUGAUGAAGGUCUUAGGAUUGUAAAAUUCUUUCACCGGGGACGAUAAUGACGGUACCCGGAGAAGAAGCCCCGGCUGACUUCGUGCCAGCCGCCGCGGUAA
rnacentral:rRNA from 1 species